AUUGAACGCUGGCGGCAUGCUUUACACAUGCAAGUCGAACGGCAGCGCGGGCUUCGGCCUGGCGGCGAGUGGCGAACGGGUGAGUAAUGCAUCGGAACGUGCCCAGUAGUGGGGGAUAGCCCGGCGAAAGCCGGAUUAAUACCGCAUACGACCUGAGGGUGAAAGCGGGGGACCGAAAGGCCUCGCGCUAUUGGAGCGGCCGAUGUCGGAUUAGCUAGUUGGUGGGGUAAAGGCUUACCAAGGCGACGAUCCGUAGCUGGUCUGAGAGGACGACCAGCCACACUGGGACUGAGACACGGCCCAGACUCCUACGGGAGGCAGCAGUGGGGAAUUUUGGACAAUGGGGGCAACCCUGAUCCAGCCAUGCCGCGUGCGGGAAGAAGGCCUUCGGGUUGUAAACCACUUUUGUUCGGGAAGAAAUCCUCUGGGCUAAUACCCCGGGGGGAUGACGGUACCGGAAGAAUAAGCACCGGCUAACUACGUG
rnacentral:rRNA from 1 species